UAAAAAAACCUAAUAAUUAAUUUUUAUAAAACAAUAUCAGGAACCUUUGCACAAAUUUAGUGCAAAUGAGUGUAAACAGGCACAGCUCCACGGUAGUCAAGGUUACUAAACUGAUGUGGAAAUGCUCACUGGAUAGAAAGCAAAAAUAUUUGCAGAAGCUCACCCUGGAAACCCUACAGACAAACAGGAUCAAAUUCUUUUCAGCUACACAGCUGGACAACAGAUAAAAUUCACCAACAGCAAUGCAAGGACUGAUUUGCAGUGAGGUAACAAAGAAUUUGGCUCAUGUAUUUUUGUGGAUAUCAUUAAGAAAACAAUUUCUUUGGCUAGGCUAUAAAAACAACAGAAUCUUUAAAUAGGCAUCAUACAAAGGAAGUGGUAGCAUCAUUGAAUCAGGGAAGCCAGAUCUUCUGCAGAUGCAAAUUAAAAGUAGCUUCACUGGAAAGCAUGUAGCUGUGCUAAUUUAUAGCAGUCGAAGGCCUGGAUAGCCAUCUCAGCAAUGCUCUUGUGGAGGAAACAGAGAUAGGAUUUAUAAAGGAAUCUUCAUCUUCACUGUGUUUCAAUAACUAAUUUCUUCUGUUGCCUUUUCCAGCCCAGGAAUCAAACUCAAGAUAAUUUCAGUAUGGGAGGUAACAUAAAAGUGGAUCUUCAUCCAAGGCUUUCGGGGCAGUUAUGGAAAGAUAUCCACAAAAGCUCACCCACACAGGGUGAAUACAGUUUUUAUACAUGUAGCAAAUUAGUAUAAUUGACAAAAAAGCACCAGUUAGCAGGAUGAGUGGUGAUGGAAUUCCACCCCCCCCCGGUCAAGCCCCUUCUCUGGAGCCCCCUUGGCACUGGCUGUACUUUGUCCAUGAAAUGGAUCUCCAAGAGUUGUUCCCAACCCUGGCAACCAGGGAGAGCCAAGACAUCACAGGGACCUUGUACCCCUGGGGCUUGGAGCUCUGGGAUUUGUUUAGUCUUCCUCCCUAGGGAAAGGGAAAAUUACUGGGAAAAUUAGCCACUAAUUCAAUAGGCUGCAGAGCUACAAAUAUGUGUGUGAAGAAUACAGAGAACACAUUAAAGGGAAAAGGCUAAAACCAAAACAGCAUCACUUCAGCCAAUAUCCCCAAGUUUGAAGCUCUUGUCCUGUCACUGCAGUUUCUGAUGAAGAGCCCCUCUGUGACCUCCUGGCUGGCCCCCUUCAGAUUUAAUUUCUAGAACAUGGAUCCAAAAGCUGCAGGGAGAGAAGAAACCCCGGGAUUAUUUUGCCCUGCCUGUACUUCAGUGGCUGCUGACUGUCCCCAGCAGCAUCCCUGCACAGAGGGGGCUCCUCCUCAGAGCCACCUCCCCUCUGGCCCUGCUCUUCUCCCCCUCCACCCCCAGCAGCAAUUCCAGCACGUGCAAAGGCACAGCGUGCCUGCUCUCCUGGGACACACUCCACCCUCUACGAGUCACUCCCUCUGCUAUAGGUCAAGGUCAAAAGCAUUUCCAUUUUUUCAGCUUGGUGGGCUUUUCCCUCUGCACCUCUUCCUAAGCUGAACCACAGCCACUGGAGCUGAAAUCAGCUUUCUUUAAACCAAAUGCCACGUACCUGCAAGACAGAAUGUUCCUACAGAGACCUGUGUGUGGGACAGAAACACCACCACACUCAGAAAUAAUGAACAAGCGCUUAAAAUGCAAAUCCAAAAGCCCCUUCUAUAUUACCUGCAGAGCAAACAAAAUAUAAUUCAAACUUCAACUGUUCAUAACCAAAAAAGACAAAUGUAGGUUACUAUUGUACAAUGCUGGAUUAAUGGUUCAGUUAUGCAAUAAUAUUCUACAUGUGUCUCAGCUCCCAGUGAUGUAACUAUAUAAACCCGUUAAAUGGCUAUUUCUAUAAAAUAAGCAAUCCCAUAAUUAGGCUUACUUUUCCAAUUCCUGUUCACUUAAGAGGAUGUUUUAAUAACCUGGGACUAGGACUGUACAUAUCUAGCCUGCCUGGUCAUGUCAGCAUCCUCAGAAAAUAACCAUAACCAGCACUACUAGGUUCUUUUCUAAAGGUGUGCACACACUAUUUUAGGUGCCUUAAAGUAGCUACUGAUCAAACUCAAAGUGGCAGUAAGUUAUUUGCUAUAUCUAUGUACAAUCUGCUCCCUUCACCAGCAAGCUUCAGAUUGAGUUUUAAAGAAAACCCAAGGUCACAGACAGGACCUGGCUACUCUGUAGGUUUUUUGGCUUGGUUUUUUCUCUCCCACCACCAGAGAAAACCCUCUUAAUAGGAGAUUCUGCAACAGUGUUGCUUGCUUUGAUGCCCAAAAGAAUUCAAGGGGCUACAGAGCUCAAAUAACUUUACUUAGUGCUUGGAAGUUGUGAGGAGUUCUUUCAGAAAGUGCCACCAAUGCAAUGAGAACUAUGUCCCAGGUUUUGCAUUUGCCAUUCAGGAUGGCAGGAGGCCUUCUACUCCCCUUGAGGCAGGUUCUGCUUUUAAAACAUACCGGUCAGGUGGAACAUUGCAAUAUUUUGCCUCAGAUUUUACAAUGUCAGUUCAGAACUUACAAGUGUGAGCCAUCAGCAGUGAACUUGCUAUUUUUAAAAGGGAGAAAGUAGAAGUGAAGAGUGUUUCUCCUCUCCCAGAAAUAAUGAGCAGAAGUUUCCAAGAGCUCAGAGUAAUUUAGAGAAGACUCAGAAGACAUUUUUCCUCCUCUAUUACUGGGAAAAAGCAAUUUGCAACUCCCAGAAGCUGUGAGUCCCAGCAGGUACCUUGGGCACUGCAAUCUGGGCCUGUGCAGUGACCCCAGUGCACCCAAAUCUUCACUCCACAGCCACAACAUCCCCAGCAAGACUGCUGCAAGAGCUGCUUUUCCUCUCACCUCAAAGAGGUGACCACAAGGCAGAACUCUGGUUUUAUUCACUUCCAAAAACUAUUCUAAAGUUUGACUUUGAGUUUACUCUUCUGUGAAACUGGCCUAAAACUAGAGCCAGAUCUUUAGCUCAAAAUAGGUUCAUGGACAUCAUGAACCUACCUUUGAUGACUUGAUAAAAACCACCAUGUUCAUAGAGAAAGGAGGAACACAAGAUCACAGGCAGUAACCACAUUAUUUCAAGUAUCUUGUGCUGGAUUACAGUUUAUGGGUAUGUCCAUCAUCUGACAGCACAUUUUUUUUGUGGCUGUGAAGAA